CCUAAUUUUUCUACGUCCCUCUCCCUUUUUUUCUUCGUCCCUCUUCCUCUUCAUCUCCCUUUUUUCUUCAUUUUGUUCUCUAUUCAUCUCCCAACUUCAUAAUUGACUGCAAAUCUUCAUAAUCAAACCACAAAGCAAGAAAGAGAUUGAAAAUUUAGGAGUUGGGAGCGGGUUGCAUGUGCGAUUGGCUCGAAAGUGGGAGAUGGAGAAGGUCUGCAAUCAAGGAGUUUCAUGUUUUCUGGGUUGGAUCUGAAUUUGAAAAAUGGAACGACUGCAUUUUUUUUUUUGUUUUGAAUUUUGCGGGAUAUGGGUUUGAAAAUGGUUGUGGAAGCGAGGAAGAAGAUGGAGCAGGGCAAGGAGGGAGCGAUAUGUGACAAGCAUGACGAGCGACGUUGGGUCUUGGACGACUAACUCUCUCAUGAUUUUCUCUCUAUUAGAAGAGGGCUUACGAAUCUGGCCGAAAUUGGGGAUCCUCGUUAAGAACUCGUAGCGAGGUGGUUGAUCCGAGCGAGUCCCACCUAAGCUCAUUAAACUUAAUCCUGGUGCAGACCAAACAAGGGACUACAGUCUAGUCUAGUCCAGUCCUCCCUAAUCCGGUCAAACAAACGGGCCCUUAGGUUCUCUUGUGAAAGUGAUUGUUUUAGGCGUACCAUUGUUGACCACAAAUAAUAGAUUGUUUAGUUUUUGUA